rnacentral:sRNA from 1 species
CAGAGUUACAAGCACCUUUUCCAGCCGGUUAUCAACCAGGUAGUGGACUUCUACCAACCCACGUGCAUUGUGCUCCAGUGUGGAGCUGACUCUCUGGGCUGUGAUCGAUUGGGCUGCUUUAACCUCAGCAUCCGAGGGCAUGGGGAAUGCGUUGAAUAUGUCAAGAGCUUCAAUAUCCCUCUACUCGUGCUGGGUGGUGGUGGUUAUACUGUCCGAAAUGUUGCCCGCUGCUGAAUACUUCGAGUACUUUGCCCCAGACUUCACACUUCAUCCAGAUGUCAGCACCCGCAUCGAGAAUCAGAACUCACGCCAGUAUCUGGACCAGAUCCGCCAGACAAUCUUUGAAAACCUGAAGAUGCUGAACCAUGCACCUAGUGUCCAGAUUCAUGACGUGCCUGCAGACCUCCUGACCUAUGACAGGACUGAUGAGGCUGAUGCAGAGGAGAGGGGUCCUGAGGAGAACUAUAGCAGGCCAGAGGCACCCAAUGAGUUCUAUGAUGGAGACCAUGACAAUGACAAGGAAA